rnacentral:sRNA from 1 species
AAAAAAAAAAAGAAUACAAAUUGUCGUCCUCGUCUUCUUCCUUUCAACAAUCUGAAGAAAAUCUGAUUAUCCAGCAAAAAGGAAGCAAUUGAAGGUAACUAAUUUACGAAACUGAAGUUUAACAUUUGGGUUUGUUCGAUUUUUGCCGAAUCUCUUUUUUGUUCUAGCAUUUCUAGGUUUUUCGGUUGAAAACGAAACAAGUAAAAUAGAUUGAUAUUUGGGAAUUUUGAAGGAGUGUUGGAAAUUGUUAUAUAAUUUU